AAUCUCUAUGGCCCCAAAGUUCUAGUAGUAACAUCAAUCUACGAGCAAAAUUUUCUCAAAUUUUGUACUUUCUAUAGCAGUAAUAUUGACGGAAAAAAGUAGCAAUUUUAUGAUUGAAUAAUAUUAAUAAUUACAUUUGCGAUUACUUGAACGUAAUAAAGCAGAACAUAUAUUAA